GCUGUAGUGCAAUGGAUAGCGCGUUGGACUUCUAAUUCAAAGGUUGUGGGCUCGAAUCCCACUUGGUAUG